GCGUCGGUCGUAUAAUGGUUAUUAUUCCUGCCUUCCAAGCAGGAGACAGGGGUUCGAUUCCCCUCCGACGCA